rnacentral:rRNA from 1 species
AAUGAACGUUGGCGGCGUGGAUUAGGCAUGCAAGUCGAGCGAGAACCCCGCAAGGGGGGACAGCGGCGAAAGGGACAGUACUGUGUAGAUUAUCUGCCCUCAGGUCCGGGAUAGCUGCGGGAAACUGCAGGUAAUACCGGAUAACAUCUCCGGAUCAAAGGUGUGAUUCCGCCUGAGGAUGAGUCUGCAUCCUAUUAGCUAGUUGGUGGGGUAAUGGCCUACCAAGGCAUUGAUGGGUAGCAGGUGUGAGAGCACGACCUGCGUCAUUGGGACUGAGACACUGCCCAGACACCGACGGGUGGCUGCAGUCGAGAAUCUUCGGCAAUGGGCGCAAGCCUGACCGAGCGACGCCGCGUGUGGGAUGAAGGCCUGCGGGUUGUAAACCACUGUCAGAGGGGAUGAAAUGCAGGUGGGUGCUCCCAUCUGUUUGACAUAGCCUCAGAGGAAGGACGGGCUAAGUUCGUG